GAUGAAGAACGCAGCGAAAUGCGAUACGUAAUGUGAAUUGCAGAAUUCAGUGAAUCAUCGAAUCUUUGAACGCAUAUUGCGCUCUCUGGUAUUCCGGAGAGCAUGCUUGUUUGAGUAUCAGUAAACACCUCAACUCUUUUUUCUUUUUUGAAAUUGGAGCUGGACUUGAGUGAUCCCAACGCUUUCUUCCAAGAAAGUGGCGGGUUGCUUGAAAUGCAGGUGCGGCUGAACUUUUCUCUGAGCUAUAAGCAUAUCUAUUUAGUCUGCCUAAAAAACAGAUUAUUACCUUUGCUGCAGCUAACAUAAAGGAGACUAGUUCUUGUGCUGACUGAUGCAGGAUUCACAGAGACAGCUUCGGCUGACUUUGUAAACUCGAUCUCAAAUCAAGUAAGACUACCCGCUGAACUUAAGCAUAUCAAUAAGCGGAGGA
rnacentral:misc_RNA from 1 species